GGACGAGUGCGGGCAUGCUAUACAUGCAGUAGAACGCUGAAGAGAGGAGCUUGCUCUUCUUGGAUGAGUUGCGAACGGGUGAGUAACGCGUAGGUAACCUGCCUUGUAGCGGGGGAUAACUAUUGGAAACGAUAGCUAAUACCGCAUAACAAUGGAUGACACAUGUCAUUUAUUUGAAAGGGGCAAUUGCUCCACUACAAGAUGGACCUGCGUUGUAUUAGCUAGUAGGUGAGGUAAUGGCUCACCUAGGCGACGAUACAUAGCCGACCUGAGAGGGUGAUCGGCCACACUGGGACUGAGACACGGCCCAGACUCCUACGGGAGGCAGCAGUAGGGAAUCUUCGGCAAUGGGGGCAACCCUGACCGAGCAACGCCGCGUGAGUGAAGAAGGUUUUCGGAUCGUAAAGCUCUGUUGUAAGUCAAGAACGGGUGUGAGAGUGGAAAGUUCACACUGUGACGGUAGCUUACCAGAAAGGGACGGCUAACUACGUGCCAGCAGCCGCGGUAAUACGUAGGUCCCGAGCGUUGUCCGGAUUUAUUGGGCGUAAAGCGAGCGCAGGCGGUUUGAUAAGUCUGAAGUUAAAGGCUGUGGCUCAACCAUAGUUCGCUUUGGAAACUGUCAAACUUGAGUGCAGAAGGGGAGAGUGGAAUUCCAUGUGUAGCGGUGAAAUGCGUAGAUAUAUGGAGGAACACCGGUGGCGAAAGCGGCUCUCUGGUCUGUAACUGACGCUGAGGCUCGAAAGCGUGGGGAGCGAACAGGAUUAGAUACCCUGGUAGUCCACGCCGUAAACGAUGAGUGCUAGGUGUUGGAUCCUUUCCGGGAUUCAGUGCCGCAGCUAACGCAUUAAGCACUCCGCCCUGGGGAGUACGACCGCAAGGUUGAAACUCAAAGGAAUUGACGGGGGCCCGCACAAGCGGUGGAGCAUGUGGUUUAAUUCGAAGCAACGCGAAGAACCUUACCAGGUCUUGACAUCCCGAUGCUAUUUCUAGAGAUAGAAAGUUACUUCGGUACAUCGGUGACAGGUGGUGCAUGGUUGUCGUCAGCUCGUGUCGUGAGAUGUUGGGUUAAGUCCCGCAACGAGCGCAACCCCUAUUGUUAGUUGCCAUCAUUCAGUUGGGCACUCUAGCGAGACUGCCGGUAAUAAACCGGAGGAAGGUGGGGAUGACGUCAAAUCAUCAUGCCCCUUAUGACCUGGGCUACACACGUGCUACAAUGGUUGGUACAACGAGUUGCGAGUCGGUGACGGCGAGCUAAUCUCUUAAAGCCAAUCUCAGUUCGGAUUGUAGGCUGCAACUCGCCUACAUGAAGUCGGAAUCGCUAGUAAUCGCGGAUCAGCACGCCGCGGUGAAUACGUUCCCGGGCCUUGUACACACCGCCCGUCACACCACGAGAGUUUGUAACACCCGAAGUCGGUGAGGUAACCUUUGGAGCCAGCCGCCUAAGUGGACAG
rnacentral:rRNA from 1 species